UCGACAUUUUUUAGGAAAUUUUUGGAAAAGUUAAGUCGUCCAGAUGAUUUGAAAGUUUCAGUUGAGGAUCAAGGAUAUGGAGCAUGGGUGAGAAGAGUUAGAAUGAUGGUUUAAGCAUAGAAGAUUUAUAUGGGUAUUGAAAGUUUUCAUUCAGUAAGCUUGUUGUGUUCUGAUGUUGUGGUUUGUUGGGAGAUUGAUGUUUAUAUUAAGACUUUGUAUUGUCUUAGAAUAGUUAUUCUGGAGUAAGUGAUGUAAAUAUAUGAGUAUUUUGUGCGAUAGAGAAAAAUUAGAGUAUAUACUAUGUGGAAGAAAAAUGAUUUUUAAGUGACAUGAGUUAACUCUCCAGACCCUCAGGGACGGGGCGUUACAGUUGGUAUCAGAGCCAGGUUUGAGAUUCUGUAGAGUUUAUGGAUUGAGGUUUUGGGAAUUUGAGGAUGCAGAUUUGAUGGGCUUAUUUUAAAGGUUGUAGGACAUGACUUGGAGGUCUAGAUUUUAAAGUUUACAUAAGUUUGACCGAAAGUCAAGUUUGAGGUUUGCAUACUAUAAUAAGAUGUUUGAUGAUAUUUAAGGUUUUAAAAUUUUGAAAGCACUAGGACAUGAUUUUAAAGAUAUUCGGUUUGAGCUUUUGCAUACUCAUGUUGGAUGGCGUACGAAAUCUAAGGUUUUGAAUAUCUAUGGGCUAGGAAGUUAACUCAGA